UACGGAGGGUGCAAGCGUUGCUCGGAAUUAUUGGGCGUAAAGGGUAGGUAGGUGGUCUCGUUUGUCUGAGGUGAAAGCCCUGAGCUUAACUCAGGAAGUGCCUCAGAAACGGCGAGACUGGAGUCCUAGAGAGGGUCGUGGAAUUCCCGGUGUAGCGGUGAAAUGCGUAGAGAUCGGGAGGAACACCAGAGGCGAAGGCGGCUCUCUGGGACGGUACUGACGCUGAGACGCGAAAGCGUGGGGAGCGAACAGG
rnacentral:rRNA from 1 species